rfam:Myotis davidii contig39235, whole genome shotgun sequence.
GGCAGUUCUUGGGUGACGCACCCUGGAAUCAGACUCCCUCCUCCCUGGUUUCGAGUGCGUCAGCCAAGAACCGCA